rnacentral:lncRNA from 1 species
GCCUAAGUGUUAGUGGAUGCUGUUCAUGCAGAAGGGUCAUGAAAAGUGGAGAGAAGCAUCUUGAAAAAGCUAUUCAACAUUACACUCAUUAGAUGGCUAUUAUUAAAAAAAAAAAGCAACAGAAAAUUACAAGUGCAAUGGUUAAUUUUCUGUGUCAACUUGACAGGGCCAUGAGGUCCCCAGACGCAAACAUGAUUCUGGGUGUGUCUGAGGUGUUUCUGGAUGUGAUUAACAUUUGGAUCAGUAGAGUGAGUAAAGCAGAUUGCCCUUCAUAAUGUGGCUGGAUCUCAUCCCAUCAACUGAAGAUCUGAAGAGAACCAAAAGCUGAUAAGAGAGAACUUCUCCUGCUGGACUGCCUGGAGCUGGGACAUUGAUCUUUUCUUACCUUUGGACUUGAAUUGAAACAUCAGCUCUUCUUGGAUCUUAAUCCUCCUGGCUUUUGGACUGGAACUUAAAAACAAAAUGGGGCACCAGCAAAUAUGUUUUUCUUUUAGGUCCUGAAAAAUGGAGAGGAGCAUCUUUAAAAACUAUUCAACAUCACACCCAUUAGAUGGCUAUUAUUAAAAAAAAAAAGCAAUAGAAAAUUACGAGUGUGAUGGUUAAUUUUCUGCGUCAAUGUGCCUUGGCCAUGAGGUCCCCAGAUGUUUGGGCAAACAUUAUUCUGGGUGUGUCUGAAUAAUGACUUAUAUUAUUGUAUUUAUUAUUAUAGUGGCUUUUAUUAUAUGUCCUGCUGGCUUUUAGACUGGAACUUACAAAAUAUGGCACAUUGCCUUUCUUGGGUUUCCAGCUUGCUGACUAUAAAUCUUGGGACUUUUCAGCAUCCAUAACCAUGUAAGCCAAUUCCAUAUAAUAAAUCUCUUU